rnacentral:misc_RNA from 1 species
AAGUCGUAACAAGGUAACCGUAGGUGAACCUGCGGUUGGAUCAUUAAUGUCGUCUAUUUAGUCUCUGGGUAGUUACUCUAUGGUAGUUUACCCAUGAUGGCUAUUAACACCUGUGCACUUUCAUGUAUCUUGGGUAAUUAUUACCCAAAAUUGAUUAAAACCCCUAUUGAUUAUGAUUAUGUCUGAAAAUUUAUAUUAAAUAUAAACAACUUUUGACAACGGAUCUCUAGGCUCUC